UACGGGAGGCAGCAGCUAAGAAUCUUCCGCAAUGGUCGAAAGACUGACGGAGCGACGCCGCGUGAACGAUGAAGGCCGUGAGGUUGUAAAGUUCUUUUCUAGAGGGAGAAUAAGGCUUAUAGGGAAUGAUGAGCUGAUGACAUGAAUCUAGGAAUAAGCCCCGGCUAACUACGUGCCAGCAGCCGCGGUAAU
rnacentral:rRNA from 1 species